CCUCGUUCUCUUCUGAAUGCCUGCUAGCCAAGAAGAACAGGAAACCAUUUUGACUCUCAGAUACACCCUAAAGCUGCAGUAGUCUCAUCUAAAGGUGGCCUACCCUGCAGAACUGUAGUUUAGGAGUGCACAGCAAAGAGUCUGGUGAUAAAAAUCUCCCAGGUGAAGACCCACCUCACCUGUCAGGACAGAUCAGUGACGUUCGCUCUAAUCUACUGGAGAAAAUGAGGGAGACCCUCGAGAGGGAAUGGGGCAGACGAGAGGCGGUCGUCAUGGAGAGAUCUUGGGGGAUGUUUUUGGAGAUGAGCGCAAUGCAUGAACUCGACGAGCAUGAGCUUGAACAAGCUCGAGAAAAAGUGCAUGGGUGGCAGAUGAAAACCUCUGGGCUUGGAUCAGAAUUAGAAGACAAUGAAGAUGGUUAUGCAGAGUGACAAAUGUAUUUGGGGGUUUUUGUGGACUUAUUAAGCUUUCAAAGCAUCUACACUUGAAUGAAAUUCAUGUGGAAAAACGUGCUUCUUUAUGUAACGUUAAAUAAAAAAUUAAAGAAAUUGGUUCGAUAUUUACCACAGACAUAGAAAUGCCCCUCAAUGCAGAAACAUACAUAGGCCCAAGUUCAUGUGUACAAAACAUGAUACAUAGAUGCCCACCCAAAGUAAUGCCAUCCAAGCAGUAGUAUGCAUUGCUAUUUUAAGAGUAUCAUCACAGUCCUUUUCAAAAGGCAUUCAGUACACACUAUUUUUCAAUUUUUUAUAAUUCUUAAUUUGUUUUUCAAAUUCACAUUCAGACACAAUACCAAAAUUGUAAUCCAGUGAUUGUAAUUGUAAUAAACACUGACGUCAAUAAAAGAAGAAAGCUUGUUUGUUA
ensembl:lncRNA